GCCGAAGUGGUGAAAUUGGCAGACGCACUGGACUCAAAAUCCAGCGGUAGCGAUACCAUGUCGGUUCGAGUCCGACCUUCGGCACCA
rnacentral:tRNA from 1 species